rnacentral:rRNA from 1 species
AUAAUAAUUAGUCUUUUAAAUGAAGGCUGGAAUGAAUGAUUGGACGAAGUAAAUUCUGUCUCAUUUAAAUUAAAAUUUAAAUUUAAUUUUUUAGUUAAAAAGCUUAAAUAUUAUUAUAGGACGAGAAGACCCUAUAGAGCUUUAUAAUAUAAUUUUAAUAAAUUUUAAUUUUAAUUAAUUAAUUAAAUAUUAUUUUGUUGGGGCGACAGGAAAAUUUGUUAAACUUUUUUAAUUAUUAUACAUUUAUUUAUGAUUUUUUGAUCCUAAAUUUUAGAUUAUUAGAUUAAGUUACCUUAGGGAUAACAGCGUUAUUUUUUUUUAGAGUUCAUAUUAAUAAAAAAGAUUGC